rnacentral:lncRNA from 1 species
GGGCUUUCUUUUAAGAACGGAACUAACACCGUUAAAUAUUAGGAUUUCUUGUACUGGAAGAAAGCAUUGUUUUCCCAAAUUGUAUUUCAGGACACUGAGUUUCUGAGACCACAUAGCUAGAAAAUGUCGGAGCUCUGCAUCUCUCUUCCCCAAUAUACUUGAAAGUCCACAAAUUGAACCGCAGAACCAUUACACAUGGAUCAGCCUUCCCAGAACAAAGAAGUCAAAUGUUUCAUCCACUGAAGCUCUGAGUUAAAGACGUACAGCAUUGAAGGCACGUGGAUGCCUUCUGGAUGCUUCCUGAGCUCUGAGCGUGCACGGUCUCCUGAUGGCAAAGGCUGGAAGCUGAACUCAGUGUGUCCGUGGAUUUUAUGGUUUCCUUAGGAAAAUGAAUUCUCAAGUUCCAGUCCUCUUUCCAAGCACAGGAUUAGCAGCUCUGGACUUUUAAAGUGAUAGCAGUUGCCAGCCUUCAGCUGAGAAGCUGAACGAAGGGCCAUCCUUCCUGUCAUCAGUGAGGCAAAAUGAGGGGCAGAGAAACCGUGCUGGAAGGAAGCAAGGUCAUCUGCUGAACUUCCUUGACUUUGGCCCAGAUCACAGCUCAGAUUCCACUCUUGCUCCGAACUGACCUACCCGACUUUGGUGCUAGGCCUGGAGUGAUGCGUCCCUGCCUGCGAGCGCCUCUCAUCCCGUGAAGGCCGGAACAUGACCACCAGCAGCCCCGCGUGCCACGUCCCGGCGGUGAGCGGCCACAUGGCUCACUAUCCCGCCGCUCCCUACCCGCUGCUCUUCCCGCCCGUCAUCAGCGGACUUUCCCUGCCCCCACUCCACGGCCUCCACGGCCCGCCACCUCCGAGUGGGUGCAGCACCCCUUCACCUGCAAGAUACAGAUGGAGUAUAAAUUACAAAGGAGAGCUGUACUGUAAAGGAGUGAAAUCAGAGCCUCUCCAACACCCUUUCAGCACCAGGAGGAGAUGGUCCUCUGUGUCAUCGCUCAGAUUUUCCCCUAGCCUCCACACUGUUUUCAGGCAAGCAGCCCGUCUGUCCUUGGUUUGUGCCAGUGGUGGACCCUCUGGCUAUUGGAAUGACCAUUUGUGACCACACACAACUC